UUUGAAACGCCGGUUCUCGUACGAUCGCUGAAGUUAAGCAACGUCGGGCAUAGUCAGUACUUAGAUGGGUGACCGCUUGAGAAUACCAGGCGUUGUAAG